rnacentral:rRNA from 1 species
UACGUAGGGUGCAAGCGUUAAUCGGAAUUACUGGGCGUAAAGCGUGCGCAGGCGGUUGUGUAAGACAGAUGUGAAAUGCCCGGGCUCAACCUGGGAACUGCAUUUGUGACUGCACGGCUAGAGUGUGUCAGAGGGGGGUAGAAUUCCACGUGUAGCAGUGAAAUGCGUAGAGAUGUGGAGGAAUACCGAUGGCGAAGGCAGCCCCCUGGGAUAACACUGACGCUCAUGCACGAAAGCGUGGGGAGCAAACAGG